GACGAACGCUGGCGGCGUGCUUAACACAUGCAAGUCGAGCGGUAAGGCCCUUUCGGGGGGUACACGAGCGGCGAACGGGUGAGUAACACGUGGGUGACCUGCCCUCAGCUCUGGGAUAAGCCUGGGAAACCGGGUCUAAUACUGGAUAUGACUCCAUGACGCAUGUUGUGGGGUGAAAGCCUUGUGCGGCUGAGGAUGGGCCCGCGGCCUAUCGAGCUUGUUGGUGGGGUGAGGCCUACCAAGGCGACGACGGGUAGCCGGCCUGAGA
rnacentral:rRNA from 1 species